rnacentral:rRNA from 1 species
UCGACUGUUUACCAAAAACAUAGCUUCCAGAAACUAUUAGAAGUUAAGUCUGCCCGGUGAAAAAAUUUAACGGCCGCGAAAGUGCUAAGGUAGCAUAAUAAUUUGCCUCUUCAUUGGAGGAUAGUAUGAAUGGAUUAAACGAAGCUUAACUGUCUCUGUUGUACAUAAAUAAAUUGAUUUUUAGGUGAAAAAUCCUAAAUUUAAGUGAAGGACGAGAAGACCCUAUAGAGUUUUAGUAAAAAUAGAAAUAUUUUACUUUUAUUGGGGCAAUAAAAGAACAAAUAAAACUCUUUUAAAAACAAAAUUAAAAUCUUAAUAAAGAUCCUCAAAGAGAAUAAAGAAAAACUACCUUAGGGAUAACAGCGUUAUUCUUCCAGAGAGAACUAAUUGAAGGAAGAGUUUGCGACCUCGAUGUUGGACUAAGGAAUCCCUUGGGUGCAGAAGCCCAAAAUGGCAGGCCUGUUCGGCCUUUAAUUCCUUACAUGAUUUGGGUUUCAUUCCGUAA